rnacentral:lncRNA from 10 species
ACUCCCUAAGCUGGGACUCCUCAGGCUUACUCUGAGGGACACCAGGAAGCUCAACCUCUUUCCCACAGAGGAGAAUCUCUGAGAUCCAAAAAACCCAGCCUUCCCCCCUCCUCAUCUUGGUCUUGCUUCCCUCUCCCUCCAGCCUGAGGCUAAGAACAGAGCUCUGUGGGGCGAGGUCUCCUACUGGUGAUGGUGUCAGAUCCCAGGCCUGGGGAGCCCUUUAGUGGGGUGGGACCUCAGGCAGACCCCCAAACCAAAGGGAGCCAGAUGCCCAAGUUCAAGUCAUUAGUGAUAUGUGGCAGGGCU